GCGAACUCCGUGCCAGCAGCCGCGGUAAUACGGAGGGUGCAAGCGUUGUCCGGAAUCAUUGGGUGUAAAGGGUGCGCAGGCGGGCAUCUAAGUCCAAGGUGAAAUCUUGCCGCUUAACGGUAAAAUUGCCUUGGAUACUGGGUGUCUUGAAUCUAGUAGAGGUCGGUGGAAUUUGUGGUGUAGCGGUGAAAUGCAUAGAUAUCACGAAGAACAUCAGUGGCGAAGGCGGCCGACUGGGCUAGUAUUGACGCUGAGGCACGAGAGCGUGGGGAGCGAACAGGAUUAGAUACCCCUGUAGUC
rnacentral:rRNA from 1 species